UACGUAGGGUGCGAGCGUUAAUCGGAAUUACUGGGCGUAAAGCGCACGCAGGCGGUCGAUUAAGUUUGGAGUGACAGUUGGUGGCUUAACUGCCAAAGUGCUUUGAAAACUGAUCGACUUGAGGGCUUCAGAGGGACACGGAAUUCCGGGUGGAGUGGUGAAAUGCGUAGAGAUCCGGAGGAACACCGAAGGCGAAGGCAGUGUCCUGGGGAGUACCUGACGCUCAGGUGACGGAAAGCCAGGGGAGCGAACGGG
rnacentral:rRNA from 1 species